GCCCGCACUUCCCCUUGCACCCCAGCACCCCCUGCAGGUCGGCCCGGACGCGCCCCAGCUCCGCCUCCAGCCGCCUCACCUCCGCCAGCAGGGCCUCGUGGUCCUCCUGGUUGACCCCCACGCUGCAGGUCAAAGGUCAAAGGCACUAGAGGUAAUCUAUAUUGAUCGCCACGUGUGUUGGAGUGUCUGGUACCUGAUGGGCGCCACCGGUACGUCUGGAGCCUCCGCUAGAAUGGCGGCCUCUCUCAUUGCCUUCAUGGUCUCCUCCUCCCUCUCCACUUUGUAGUGAUGCUGCUUCUGCUGCACCUCCUGCAGCAGCACCACCACCCAAAGAACACCAGAUGAACCUGAACCAAUCAUGGGUUAGAACCCGGGCCGUACCUCAGUCCUGGAGGCCAGUAGGGCCAGCAGAGACUCCACCUCGGCCAAUCGCUCGGCUCGAUUCUGCUGCAGAAGCUCCUCCUUCUGCAAGGGAGACACGCUUUAUCGAUCAAUCCGUCCCAAACCCUUACACAAUGGCAAAACAGUGAGUAAAUGGUAAAUGGACAGCAUUUAUAUAGCGCUUCCCUAACCAGUCGUGUAACAAUAUUGCCUAACAGUCACGCACACAUCCACACACCGACGGCGGAGUCAACCAUGCAAGGCGACAGCCAACUCGUCGGGAGCAGUUAAGAGUUUGGUGCCUUGCUCAGGGACGCCUCGACACUCAGCUAGGAGGAGCCGGGGAUCGAACUAGCAACCCUCCGGUAACCGGCCAACACGCACCGCCUCGAGUAAGUGCGUUGUAAGCGCAUUGACGGCCUACACCCCCGGCACGCAACAGAGCCCUUGAAGCAG